GACAGAGGCCACAAGCGUUAGGCGGAAUCACUGGGCUUAAAGCGUGUGUAGGCGGAUCGUUGAGUGCCUUGUGAAAUCCCACAGCUUAACUGUGGAACUGCUUGGCAUACUGGCGGUCUUGAGCCAUCUAGGGGUUGCUGGAACAAACGGUGGAGCGGUGAAAUGCGUAGAUAUCGUUUGGAACGCCAAUGGUGAAAACAGGCAACUGGGGAUGUGGCUGACGCUGAGACACGAAAGCCAGGGGAGCAAACGGG
rnacentral:rRNA from 1 species